AUGCGAAAAGUUAUGAUUUUUAAGGUAGAAAGAAUAGAAUUGGAGGCGGCAGAAGCAACUGGAGGAAGCCCCUUCUUGUCCCUCGCCGUCUCUUCCUGAAAAUCCAUUUUCUUUUUACUUGUCUAUUUAUCCAUAACAGUACUUUACUAUCAAAUCUUUUAGCAGCAAAAUCUACUGGGUAUUUUCUUGCUGGUGGAAAGAGAGAGAGAGAGACUGAGGAAUGUGAUAUUGCAAGCAAGUAACCAAACCAAACCAAACCCAUUGCUUCCUUCUUCAAAAAAUCUAACCUUUAUGUUUUAUUUUCUUUGAUUUGAUGCUUAUACUCUACUCUGCAACAACAACUACUGUUAUAUUCGCUAGGUAUUUCAGUCAACCAGUUUAAAACACAAAAAAUUUGAAUUUUUUGAGCGUGAAGCGGUAAAUUUUGGAGUCUGUGUGGAGAAGGGGGAGGGAGGGAGGAAGGAAGUGGGAAAGACGGGCUUUUUUUUUUUUUUUUUUUGAGACAAGGAGAAGAGAAGAAAGUUCUGAUCGCCAUUUCCGGUUUUAGAUUACGAUUUUUUGCAAUGCGAAUUCAGUGAAGUCGUGGAGGGCGGGAUCUGGGCCGCCAUCGUCACCAGAGCCUCGGUUUUGAUUUGAAUGUCUACUGCUGUUUUUACUUUUGUUAGGGUUUUGCCUGCUUUUCCGUUUCCGCCAUGACUACCAAACGUGCCUAUAAGCUGCAGGAAUUUGUGGCGCAUUCUUCCAGUGUUAACUGUCUCAAGAUCGGGAGGAAGUCAUCCAGGGUUCUUGUGACUGGUGGUGAAGAUCACAAGGUUAAUCUAUGGGCUAUUGGUAAGCCCAACGCCAUACUG